GACGUAGGGUCCAAGCGUUGUCCGGAUUUACUGGGCGUAAAGAGCGCGUAGGCGGUCUGUUAAGUGUGAAGUGAAAUCUCCAGGGCUCAACCCGGAAACUGCUUCGCAUACUGGCAGACUUGAGGAAUGCAGAGGUUUGUGGAAUUCCUGGUGUAGUGGUGAAAUGCGUAGAUAUCGGGAGGAACACCAGUGGCGAAGGCGACUGACCUGCCUGUUCUUGACGCUGAGGCGCGAAAGCUAGGGGAGCAAACGGG
rnacentral:rRNA from 1 species